UCGUGGACUGAUUUGUCUGGUUGAUUCCGUUAACGAGCGAGAUCUUAACCUGCUAAAUAGGCCGCCAACACUACCAUGUUGGUAGCGCCUUCUUAGAGGGACAUUGCGUGUUUAACGCAAGGAAGUUUGAGGCAAUAACA
rnacentral:rRNA from 1 species